ACAGUGCUGCUCUGUCACCGGGUAAGACUAGCUAGUGGAGGCAGGCUUUUUUAACACGGACUGUUGCAGAAAUGGGGUGCUUGUAUCCAACUAACUGCUAACCGCUGGUGGAGUUUGUGACUGUUAGAUGAGACCAUUCUACAUUCCACGCAAAUUUACGGCUGUGUUUAUACUCUGUUUACAGCCUACCAAGCGCUAACGCUAGUAUGUGUUAGCUCAACUUUAUGGAGCAUAUAAUGUGUGUGCAGUAAAUGUACAGUGUACUAUAGGUU